GACGAACGCUGGCGGCGUGCUUAACACAUGCAAGUCGAACGAUUAAAGCUCUCUUCGGAGAGUGUAUAGAGUGGCGCACGGGUGAGUAACACGUAAGUAAUCUACCCUCGGGUGGGGAAUAACAUCGGGAAACCGAUGCUAAUACCGCAUAAUGCAGCGGCUCCUAAUGGAGACAGUUGUUAAAGGAUUUAUUCGCCUGGGGAGAGCUUGCGGCAGAUUAGCUAGNGGUAAGGUAAUGGCUUACCAAGGCUACGAUCUGUAGCCGGUCUAAGAGGACGGUCGGUCACACUGACACUGAAUAACGGGUCAGACUCCUACGGGAGGCAGCAGUCGGGAAUUUUGGGCAAUGGGCGAAAGCCUGACCCAGCAACGCCGCGUGAAGGAUGAAGUAUUUCGGUAU
rnacentral:rRNA from 1 species